rnacentral:rRNA from 1 species
ACUUCAAUACUUAGCUCAACUAUUAACACACCAACAACAAGCUAGAUCAGACAAAUCAUUCAUCAACACUAGUAAAGGAGAUUAAAC